UUUGGGCUGAAUUCUGCCCUUUUUGGGUCUCUCCCUCCCUGUCCAGGUUCGGGGGCUGCAGCUCCCGGCCCCGGCGCAGGCGGCGCUGCAGCAGCUGAACGGGGCCCUGACCCCCCCUGGGGGGGCUCAACCCCGCCGCCCUGACAGCCCUGAGCCCGGCGCUGAACUUGGCCUCGCAGUGUUUGACGCUCUCGGGGCUCUUCUCGCCCCAGACCAUGUGAGACUCGGCUCCGCCCCCUCCCUCAGGCCACGCCCCCUUCUCCCUCUCCAGCCCCUCCUCCACUGGCGGGGAAAGGGGGCGUGGCCUCAGCGCUGGCCCCGCCCCCUGCCCCGCCCCCCGCCGGGGUUGGGAUUUUGGGGAAAUUUUGGGAAUUUUUGGGAAAAUUUUUUUUUUCGGUUUUUUUUGGGUUUUUUUUUUUUUUUUUUUUU